GUCUCUAGGGUACAUCUUACCUGACAGUGCUUGGCUGUUCACUGAUGUUCUAACACUGUCUGGUAACGAUGCACUCUGGUGAC